rnacentral:snoRNA from 8 species
UCGCAGCCAAUUAAGCCGACUGUGCUCUUUUCCCCAUGGGGGCCCAGUGUGCAAUGGCUGCAGAUAGCAGCCUCCUUGGUAGUGUAUGCAACCUGUUGCCUGUACAGGUUGCCCUAAGGGACCUUGGAGACAACU